AGGAACCUGUUUAGCAGAAUGGACUACAGGACAGGGCUGCUGCUUUUAACUAUCUGCUUUGCAGGUGUCGAUAAUCAGUCUCUGACAGAAUCUGAACCAACUGUUAAACGACCUGGAGAAUCACACAAACUGACAUGUACAGGAUCUGGAUUCACAUUCAGCAGCUACUUGAUGGCUUGGGUCAGACAGGCUCCUGGGAAAAGACUGGAGUGGGUUUCAACUAUCGAUAUCACAAGCACAUAUUACUCUCAGUCAGUUCAAGGAAGGUUUACCAUCUCCAGAGACAACAGCAAACAGCAGGUGUAUCUGCAGAUGAACAGCCUAACAACUGAAGACUCCGCCGUCUAUUAUUGUGCUCGGCAACCACAGUGACUGAAGUCAGUUCAGUCGCUGUACAAAAUCCCCUGAUAUAAAUCUGUAACAGAAAAAAAAUGA